AUUUUCACACUACGAGUUUCCAAAAUUCGAUUCUUAGCGCAAGAAAACCAAUCCAAUUGCGAAGUUAGCUAAGAAAUCUUUCAUCCCAAACCACGUUACCUCUUGCAGCAGUCUGCAGCUCCGAAUCACCGUCAAGCUUCUGCUUCGAAUCUCUCUCUCUCCCUUUUUAUAUAUGUCGAUGCUCUAAAACAAAUUACAUUCCAAAGUUGCAGGUCAGAAGCCCAAAAAAUGGCAGCAACAGCACUCGUAUUUCUCCUCAUAACUUCUCUCUUCAUCCCCUCCUAUACCCAAGAUAUCCAAUCCCCAGACCAGGAAGCUUUCAUUUCAAUCGUUAUAUCCCAACAGGGUCUCGACUUUCUUAAGAAUUUGCUCAUAACCAAAGCAAUCUCUUCAAUAAUUCCUCUCAAUUUGCCCAGGAUUGAAAAGACGGUUAAAAUUCCAUUUCUGGGUAAUGUUCAUAUGCGCCUAUCUAACAUCACCAUAUAUGAAAUUGAUGUCUUGUCCUCUUUUGUUAAGCCUGGAGAUACUGGUAUUGCAAUUGUUGCAUCGGGUGCCACUUGUAAUUUAAGCAUGAGUUGGUAUUAUCAGUAUAGUACUUGGCUUCUGCCUGUCGAGAUUGCUGAUAGAGGAAACGCUUCUGUUCAGGUUGAAGGCAUGCAAGUGGGGCUUACGUUAGGCUUGGAGAACCAGAAUGGGACUUUGAAGCUGUCCCUCAUGGACUGUGGUUGUUAUGUUAAAGAUAUCUCCAUCAAAUUGGAUGGAGGAGCAUCUUGGCUUUAUCAAGGGUAUGAAAUUCUCUAUAUGAAUCUCCAUUUGAUUGAGUUGUAGCAGUGUGCUAUCCCCAUCAUUCUGCUUGUUGCUUCAAAUUCUGCUGGCUAUUGGGUGGGCCUUUUGCUUAUAGUCAGUAGUGGGACAGUACAUAAUUUUUGGUGGGUGGGGACAGGUGGGGAGAAAUCCUCCUUGAACUCAUUGGCACUCGACUCUGAAGCUUAAUAAUUUUUCUUGCUAUGUAUCAGCAUGAUAGAUGCAUUUGAGGGGCAAAUAGGGGCUGCAGUGGAAAAUGCUAUUACCAAGAAACUUGGAGGAGGAAUUUUAAAGCUUGAUUCAUUUCUGCAAGCUCUUCCCAAAGAAGUUCCAGUAGAUGAUAAUGCAUCUCUAAAUGUAACUUUUGUGAAGGAUCCUUCAUUGAGUAAUUCUUCCAUUGGAUUUGACAUCAGUGGGUUAUUCACAUCAAGGAAAAAGAUUCUAGUCCCGGCGAAUAAAUACCAGAGUUCACAACCUUCAGUUUUCUGUAAAGAUUCAUCUAAAAUGCUUGGAAUUUCACUAGAUGAAGCAGUUUUUAAUUCUGCAUCAGCCUUAUAUUAUGAUGCAAAAUUCAUGCAAUGGAUUGUGGAUAAAAUACCAGAUCAGUAUCUUUUGAACACUGCUGGAUGGAGAUUUAUUAUUCCUCAAUUGUACAGGAAAUAUCCGAAUGAUGACAUGAAUUUAAAUCUGUCUUUAUCUUCUCCUCCAAUCGUAAAGAUUUUAGAAAAUGAUAUUGAUGCAACUGUUUAUGCGGAAUUAAUAAUUGAUGUUUUGGAAGCAGACCUUGUAAUACCAGUUGCAUGCAUUUCACUGGUAAGUUUGUUGAAGGAAAUAUAAAAGCAUUUCACAAUCUUCAUUCUUACCUACUUUAUAAUUUGUGUUGUACCAAUUGUUUUUCCUCCAAUAUCAUGAUUCAUCUAUAUGAUUAUGAUAUUCCUAAUAUCCGCACUCUGUCAGGUAUGGUGUUUAGGGUUGGCAGAAUAUUAAUCGGGCCUGUGAUGAUAAUCAUGAUUAUGAUGUUGUGGGCAUGGGGAUGAUAUUUGUUUGCCAUGGAUACUUAUCCCAGGCUCAAACCUUAUCUAGUUAGGAUUCACUAUUUCCUCCACUCUAUUCAAUUAAGGGCUAUGUUUUCAGAAACUACUAGAAAUGUUUGUUAUCCACAUUAUUCUGUCAUCCUUGGUUUAUUUCUCAUCUUCGCUCAAAAUUUUAUAUGGAUUGUUUUUAGCUUCAAAGAUUGUCCAUUUCCCCCCAACUUCUCCGUCCUUGAAAAACAUUUUUAUUGUAUUAAGUAGUCAAUCACAGUACAUAUUAGUAGGAUUUGGGUAACAACUAGCAUUAAUACACAUAAUCAGAAUUGCAAAUAUCAAUUCCUUAAUUUUUCUUUUGUAUUAAAUAGUUGAUCAUAUAUAAUGAUCAAAAAUAAAUUUGGAACGACUGGUUGAUAAAAUUGUCAGCAUGCAACUGCAGCUUGUUUUCUUAGUCUGUAUACUAAAAAAAUUAGUUCCAGUUAGUUUUAGCUUAGACUCAUAUAUUAAGAUAAGAAGUCAGGUGUGUCGCUUUUGUUUCACUUCAGAACUUGGUUCUCUUUUGUUAAUUUAUUUUAAAUUUCUUUCAAUGGUUAAUUUGUUCUAUUGUUAUGUGUUUACACAGGAUAUUUAUGGCUCAGGUUCAGUUAAGAUCUCAGGGAAUACACUUGGGGGCAGCUUGAAAUUAAAGGACUUUUCAAUGUCAUUGAAAUGGAGCCAUAUUGGUAAUCUUCGGUUGUAUCUUAUUCAGCCAGUGAUAUGGACUCUUAUCCAAACUGUUUUCUUGCCAUAUGCAAAUGUACACCUCGCACAAGGUUUCCCAUUGCCAAUUGUUCAUGGUUUCACCCUAAAGAAUGCUGAAAUAAUUUGUUCAAGAUCAAAAAUUACAGUUUGCAGUGAUGUGGAAUUCACGGAGUCUCAGGGUCUGAAUCAGAUUAUGUUCAACUAAUAUGUUACCGUCUGAAGUCUGAUAGGGAUGCACACCAAGAUCCAGAAAGCACAGGCAGAUGUCCGAGUCUCUUGUUGAUUCAUAUGUGUAAGGCACAGACAGCUAAACCCAUUCCCCACACGAAUGUACAAAUUGUGAAAUGCCAUACCAUACCCAUUCCCCACAAGAAUGUACAAAUUGUGAAAUGGCAUACCAUAGUGAUUUCCUGCUUCCUACAUUGAUGCUUACUAAUAUAUUUAGCACUAAAUUCAUUCUUGAACAUAAAGGGUAAUAAAGAAUAACAUCUGAGAUGG
rnacentral:misc_RNA from 1 species